ACAUGAGGUUAGGUGCAGUACAUGACACUCGUACACUUACAAGACCGGAAGCAUCAACAUUAUUCUGUCCUUCGUAGGCUUCCAAAGCUCCCUAAUGAGAAGUAGGGCGGACUGGCCGCGCUUUUCUAUUUCGGAGGAAACAUUUGACCUUCCUGACGGCGACUCCCAUCCCGGCGGCGGGCACACUCACCUCGUCUCCCGGCCCGGAGCUCCUGCUCGCCCGCCCACCAGACACAGCAGAGACGGACGCCGGCCUAACGCCAUAGCGCCACUGUGGUUCUAGUAAACUCGUCCCGGCGCUGCUGACUAUCCACCUCUGGCAUUGCCGCCACAGUGGGGCCGCCAUGUUCGCCCAGUCGCGUGCGGCAGCGGGACCCGGAAGAGGAAGUUAGAUAGUGACGUAGUUUCGUAACAUUCAUCUGUCUCGGAAAUUAUGCUUGUGUGCUGUGAGAUAAACCUGUUUGCCUUAUGUGUAAACUAGCCACAAACUCAACGUUUAUAAACUGUUUUGGUUAAACGUGCCAAUUUCCCCUAAAAUUACCGUAUUGUAUUUAGACUGCGACGCCAGUGAGGAGGGUUAGCUAACAGCUAACUAUUGCUAACAGCUAAUUGUAGCAUAACUAUUUGUUAUCCACAGUUAAGCGUAAUAAUACCAAUGCCGGAGACAAAUUAACGUUUGUUGUCUUAUGACUUCAAUUAUCUACAUUGAUAAGGAGUGGACUGGAAAUGUGGCGUCUUGCGGAAGUACCACUUUUCGCUGUGGUGACAGUAACUAUCGUGACCAUAGUCCACAUGCAAGACUUUUGCCAAAAAGCGGAUUUUGAAUGUCAAAGUCAGGACUUAUCUCCGUCAGCCCAGCAGCCACUAUCACAAAGCGUUAAUUCCAGGUGGAAUGCAAGUGUUUUGAAGCUCAUACAGAACCUGGACCACUUCAGAGUCUCAAAUGAGAAGCUCAUGGGGGCUUUUCCCAUUGAUGAAGUCCAGGGGAAUUCAGUCCGCACUGUGAAGAACUGCAUCUUCUCUGAAUCCAUUCCGACUCCCCUGAAAGGCCCAUUAAGAUUGGCUGUGGUUUCAAAGGAUGUCAUGGAAGGACUCUUAGAUUUGGACAUGGCUACGGCCCAGUCAGAGAGGUUUCUACAAUAUGUCAGUGGAGGAAGACGUCUACCAGAGUCUCAGCCUCUGACACAUCGAUAUGGAGGCCAUCAGUUUGGGUAUUGGGCAGGUCAGCUAGGAGACGGACGAGCACAUCUUCUUGGUCAGUAUACCAACAGGAAAGGAGACACAUGGGAACUGCAGCUGAAAGGUUCUGGAAAGACACCGUAUUCAAGGUCUGGAGACGGCCGAGCGGUGGUUCGCUCAUCGCUUAGAGAGUUCCUUGGCAGCGAGGCCAUGCACUUUCUUGGUGUGCCUACCAGCAGAGCUGCCUGUUUAGUUGUCAGUGAAGAGCCAGUGUUGAGGGAUCAGUUCUAUGACGGCAAUGUGAAAACAGAAAGAGGAGCUGUCGUACUGCGCUUAGCCAAGUCCUGGUUCCGGAUUGGCUCGUUGGAGAUUUUGUCUCAAAGCAAAGAGCUUGAUCUUCUCAGAAAGCUGCUCAAUUUUGUCAUAGAAGAGCACUUUCCUUCCAUCCAGAUAAACGACCCCAAUAAAUAUUUGACAUUUUAUUCCCGAGUGGUGAACGACACAGCACAUCUGAUAGCUCAGUGGAUGUCUGUCGGCUUUGCUCACGGCGUGUGCAACACGGACAACUUCAGCCUCCUGUCCAUCACCAUCGACUACGGUCCCUUUGGCUUCAUGGAGUCUUACAACCCCGGUUUUGUCCCCAACACGUCGGACGACGAGGGAAGGUACAGCGUUGGAGAGCAGGCUAGUGUGGGCCUCUUCAACCUGGAGAAGCUGCUGGAUGCUCUGAGGCCGAUUCUCACAGCCGGACAACAAAAAGCGGCAGAGACCGUCUUAAAGGGAUAUGUUGACAUCUACAAGACAAGGAUUCAUCAUUUAUUCAAAGCCAAACUGGGACUCUUUGGUGACGAUGUGGAAGAUGAUUACAUUAUCGCCUUCCUACUUAAGGUGAUGGAGGACACGCAGGCUGACUUCACGAUGGUCUUCAGACAGCUGAGUGAGGCUUCAGCGCUUCAGCUCCACAACCACAACUUCACACAGGCCUGGGCUCUGGAGGACUUGUCAUUACAUGGACUCUUCUCUGACUGGCUGAGUGUGUACCUACAGCGCCUCCACAGGCAGGUGCGUGACAAAGAUGUGCAGCGUCAAGCGAGGAUGAAAGGCGUGAACCCACGAUAUGUGCUGAGGAACUGGAUGGCAGAGUCGGCAAUCAGGAAAGCAGAGAGGAAUGAUUUUUCAGAGGUGGAGCUGCUUCACCAUAUCCUUUCGUCUCCGUUCGUCAUUCAAAGCUCAGCAGAGGCUGCAGGCUAUGCAGCGAGACCUCCUAAGUGGGCCCAGAUGUUAAAGGUCAGCUGCUCUUCAUGAGUGAUCUCCCCUAAGCGCCAACUUGCCAAACACCUCCACCGCAGAAUGCACCGCCCGACAGGAGCACCACACCAACCAAAGUCCACACCCAAACCCUCCACGUGCAAGACCGAAUCCACCCAAAAAAAGUCACUUAACAAGAAGCCAAAAAGUGCAAAAACAACAAUGCUCGCGCGGCGCGCCGGAGGAGCCGUGAACAGGGACACAACAUUAGGAACACCACUGUUCCCGCACUUAUAAGUAAAGAGGCUCUUAGCUGGAAAAGACGCUGCUUCCACGACUUCUUGCCGUCUUCUUUGAGGUGAAGAACCCCCUCCAGGUCGGGCACGAUGAUGGACGUCCCGCAGAAGUUCUCCUGUGUGGUCACAGGAGUUUAAAAUGGGGCAGGAGGCUGAAAACAAAACACUUUUCUGUUGGAAUCACCUUUAUCAAGAUCUCUUUGUCUUUGUCUUUCAUGUCUUUUAUGGUCUUCUUGUCCUUCUUCCACAAGUAAAACAUCUGCAGGAGGAAAACUGAAGAUUAUGUUAUGUCAAAGGUUAAAACUAUUUAAAAAUAUGCAAUGCAUCUUAAUAGUAAAAAAAAAAAAAAACAUCCUUACAGAAUCCAUUAAAUACGUCAAUAAUAGAUUUAUGUCGGCAAACAUGCCAAGCUGUUGGUCUGAUGUAUUACAGUGGAGACAUGUCUCAAUACAUUUUAAUAAAAACUAUGGAUGCAAGACUAAAAAUCAAAG